AUGACGAAUGGCUUGUUCUGUGCCGCCGGAUGGUUUCUGUGCCACGCAGACCUUUUCACGUGGGCUACCGGCUUCCUGCCGGGCUCCUCCCUGAGCUCACGGUGCCCCUCGGAGGGCGGUGGGGCAUCUCCCAGCAGUGGGGACGUGUCCUUCCAGGCUCAGAAAGGCCGUGGGGUCCGCCCUCUCCUUCUGUUCCUGUGCUGGGAGCCCGACGCGGCCGCAGGUGCAGCAGCGCCCCGUUUCCCCGAUUUCGGGACUCGGCCCUGCCCUGGCACAGAGGCCCUGGAGCCUGGGUCUGCGUGGGGGCAUCUGCCAAACAGCCGCCUGCCCGCCCGCCGUGUCCCCUGGGUCCUGGUCUCACGACGGCCCCGCAGUGUCCUGAGCUCCCGGCCACUUGGGAAAACGAAGGAGCUCCCAGUUCUCGCAGGGCAGCGGCCACCAGCACGGCCGUGGGCACAGGUAGCGGGGCACCUGGUGGCUGGGCCACCACCUGUCGUCGGGCCAGGCCGGGGGCUCUCCUCGCAGCGCCUGGCGCUGGAUCACCCGGCUGCACGGGGCCCUGGAGGGACUGCCCUUCCUGCCACCGCUGGCCGCCUCGUCACCCCGUCACCCGUGCGGGCCUUGCUGUCUAGCGGCCCCGGUUCUAUGGCCAAUGAAGCCAACCGUUGCACUGAGCUGGAGCGAACGGAUUAUCUUUGCUCUUUUUAUGCAAAUCAAACCCCAAAUGUUUCUGUUUUCGUUCUGGUAGUGAGGUGCCUGGGCAGGUUAGGCCCGGCCUGGGGGACGCUGAGGCUGGAGCGACAUUGGCGGCUCAGGGUGGCAGCCCGUGGGCCCGAGGUCCACACCGCAUGCAGCAGCCCUUGCUCACGGGCUCGCGCUCGCCGUGACCCCCCUGCGAAGGGCGGGCGCCCCGGGCACAGUCGCGCCCGUCGGUGGCUGCACGGAGCACGGCGUGCAGCUGAGGGGCCGGCCUGCGCUGUCCCGGGCCUGCGGAGGGUCAGCUGCGUGACAGGACAAAUCACUUCGAUGUUUGUGCUGCAGCUUCUGACUCCAGGAAAGAGGGGGCGAGAGCAAUAG
rnacentral:lncRNA from 12 species